rnacentral:rRNA from 1 species
GAUGAACGCUGGCGGCAUGCCUAAUACAUGCAAGUCGAACGAGAGGAAGGAAAGCUUGCUUUUCUGAAUCUAGUGGCGAACGGGUGAGUAACACGUAGGUAACCUGCCCAUGUGCCCGGGAUAACUUCUGGAAACGGAUGCCAAAACCGGAUAGGUAGCAGACAAGCAUUUGACUGCUAUUAAAGUGGCUAAGGCCAUGAACAUGGAUGGACCUGCGGUGCAUUAGCUAGUUGGUGAGGUAACGGCUCACCAAGGCGACGAUGCAUAGCCGGCCUGAGGGAGCGAACGACCGCACUGAGACGGAUACACGGCCCAAACUCCUACGGUAGGCAGCAGUAGGGUAUUUUCGUCAAUGGAGGGAACCCUGAACGAGCAAUGCCGCGUGAGAGAGGAAGGUCUUCGGAUCGUAAAGCUCUGUUCUAAGAGAAAAACGACAUUCAUAGGGAAUGAUGAGUGAGUGAUGGUAUCUUACCAGAAAGUCACGGCUAACUACGUGCCAGCCGCCGCCGUAA